rnacentral:rRNA from 1 species
GUCGAGCGGGGGAGGUAGCUUGCUACUGGACCUAGCGGCGGACGGGUGAGUAAUGCUUAGGAAUCUGCCUAUUAGUGGGGGACAACAUCUCGAAAGGGAUGCUAAUACCGCAUACGUCCUACGGGAGAAAGCAGGGGAUCUUCGGACCUUGCGCUAAUAGAUGAGCCUAAGUCGGAUUAGCUAGUUGGUGGGGUAAAGGCCUACCAAGGCGACGAUCUGUAGCGGGUCUGAGAGGAUGAUCCGCCACACUGGGACUGAGACACGGCCCAGACUCCUACGGGAGGCAGCAGUGGGGAAUAUUGGACAAUGGGCGCAAGCCUGAUCCAGCCAUGCCGCGUGUGUGAAGAAGGCCUUAUGGUUGUAAAGCACUUUAAGCGAGGAGGAGGCUACUUUAGAUAAUACCCAGAGAUAGUGGACGUUACUCGCAGAAUAAGCACCGGCUAACUCUGUGCCAGCAGCCGCGGUAAU